AUACUAACCUGACAGGGGAGAUACUAGGAUCACAAAGGUGGUUUUCUCAGGACAAGACUUAUCCAUUGCACUCUAGAUGUGCUGACCCCUGCAAUUUCCCCAAAUGUGGGAAACUCGACUGCGUAAUUUGUGGUAGUGGGGGGACUGUAUUUUCCCUCUCCCCUG